GUUUACCAAAAACAUGGCUUCCCGUACAACAUAAAUAGGGAGUCGGACCUGCCCAGUGAAUUUUUAACGGCCGCGGUACUCUGACCGUGCAAAGGUAGCAUAAUAAUUUGCCUUAUAAUUGAAGGCUGGUAUGAAUGGUUUGACGAGAAUAAAGCUGUCUCUCUGUAAUUUACUAGAAAUUUAUUUAUGAAUGAAAAAGUUCAUGUACGAUUAAAAGACAAGAAGACCCUAUCGAGCUUUAAAGAACUUAGUAGGCCUAGUAGCUAAUUAAACUUAAAAAGCCGUCUACUAAAAAUUUUAGUUGGGGCGACAGAGGAACAAAGGAAGCUUCCUUAAAAUGAUUUUUGUUUAUAAACAUUGAUCCAGAAGUUUUCUGAUUAAUAAAAUUAGUUACCGUAGGGAUAACAGCAUUAUCUUUUUUGAGAGCUCUUAUCGAAAAAAAGGUUUGUGACCUCGAUGUUGGACCAGAAUGUCCUGAAGAUGCAGCAGUCUUUAAGGGUUGGUCUGUUCGACCAUUAAUAUUCUACGUGAUCUGAGUUCAGACCGG
rnacentral:rRNA from 1 species